UCCGAUUAAUUUUAAAACCUGUAUAUACUAGAGUAUCCCUCUAAAGUUCUUUGUGUGAGCUAGGAAUCAAUCUAAGUUUUAUAAAAUUUCUAGUUAUGUCAGAACUGUGAAAUCAAGUGAUUCUAUGGAGUAUCAUUGUAGAUACUUUUUUGGGAUUUUUUUUGGCCUGGUUAGCUUGUUAUCUAUUUUCUCCUUUUUUUCAAUUUUCUUACUCGUUUCACAUCUGUUUCAACAAAAUCUAUCUCAAGUUCGUUUUUUUUUUUCAGCCAUCUAUUUGAUCUACC
rnacentral:lncRNA from 1 species